AUAGACCCCAGUCACAUCAUAAAAUGAUGAUGGGAUGUUACAGUGAGAACGGGUCGGGAUAGCUCAGCUGG
rnacentral:tRNA from 1 species